ensembl:lncRNA
CCUCCUUCGCCGGCCGCUCGCCCUGCCCGCCGGGCUGUGCCGGGACCUCCGCAGAGGGAGACACGUGGUGGCCCCACCGCGCUCCGCGUCCCGCAGGCUCCAGCAUGGAACCAGGCAGAUGUUAUGAGGCUCAAAGGAGGAAUCAAGACAGCACCCAUUGACAGGGAGUCAAGGCUGUUGAAAAAGGAAUGUGCACAGGGAGACUAACCUCUUUUUUUUGAAAGAGGCCAACUGACACUCUACCAGGGCCGCAGCUGAGAAUUCGUUUCAACUGAGCCACGACGGGAACUCUGACAUCUAUGAUUGAUUCAAGCUCCAGCCUCUCUCCCUGGAAAUCAGGAGGUGGGAGUGAAAGUAUGGUCUAUUCAGGCUUGGAUCUCCUGGCAACCAGCAGGCCCAUUUCUGAGUCAUUUCCCAAAGUCACCUCAUUGUCAUAAACUCAGUUGGGGUUGAAAGAGCCUUGGGAGGAGUAACAAGACAUCCAUCUCUAAGAGACUGAAAAUUCACUGGACUCCUACUACAGAGUUAAGACUUGUCAUAAAAUUAUUGAUACGCAAUAAGUCAUGAAUUUGGUAAAAUCAAGUUACUUCAUCAUUGCUCUUGUUCCUUAAUUUCCUCUAUAAAUUCCAAAUAGAGUUGGAGAAAUUCUGCUAUUUCUGCUGAUGAUCGACUGCAUUACUGGGGCAUCCUCUAGGAUUUUCAAAACAAGUCCCUUUUCUUAAAUAUUAGAGUGUACAUGACAGACUUUAUCUUCCAUACUCACGUACCUAAAAUUGUGCACUUUUGAUGCUUUUCAGUAUUUAUCUGGGGCUUUCUCAACUUCUCCAGAUACCAUGGGAUUACUGUCUUUUUUUUUUGUCUUUUUGUCUUUGUGUUGUUGUUGUUGCUAUUUCUUGGGCCACUCCCGCGGCAUAUGGAGGUUCCCAGGCUAGGGGUUGAAUCGGAGCUGUAGCCACCAGCCUACGCCAGAGCCACAGCAACGCGGGAUCCGAGCCGCUUCUGCAACCUACACCACAGCUCAGGGCAACGCCGAAUCGUUAACCCACUGAGCAAGGGCAGGGACUGAACCCGCAACCUCAUGGUUCCUAGUCGGAUUCGUUAACCACUGCGCCACGACGGGAACUCCAUGGGAUUACUGUCUUAAUGGAUCCCUGGCCAGCUGGUUUAAGGGGAGAGAUUUCACUUUUGCUUCAUCUUUGGAAAUAAGAUACAUCAUUUCAAUUUGUAAAAGAUAAUCUUUUUUCACUUGAUGUAGUCACCAUUUAUUUCUUCCAACUGUCAGAGCUCUUCUCAUCACAUUUUGGACCACCUGUUAAGUUAUAUCCACCCACUGUGCUCCAGCCAGGCUUUCCGCCUCCCUUUCCCUCUCAGGGUCUCUGUGAGCCAGAGCACACAGUCAGAGCUUUGAAGGACAUUCUAAGCACAUUCAAGUCUAAUCCUGUAAUAGAAAAGGACCCGGAGUUACCACUGUGGCUCAGUGGGUUAGGAACCCAACUAGUAUCCAUGACGAUGCGGGUUUGAUCCCUGGCCUCACUCAGUGGGUUAAGGAUCUGGCAUUGCCUGUGAGCUGUGGAUGUAGGUCACAGAUGCGCUUGCCUCCAAUUCCACCCCUAGCCCAGAAAUUUCCACAUGCCCAGGUUUGGCCAUAAAAAGGCAAGAAAAAGAAAAAAAA